rnacentral:rRNA from 1 species
GUCGAACGAACUCUGGUAUUGAUUGGUGCUUGCAUCAUGAUUUACAUUUGAGUGAGUGGCGAACUGGUGAGUAACACGUGGGAAACCUGCCCAGAAGCGGGGGAUAACACCUGGAAACAGAUGCUAAUACCGCAUAACAACUUGGACCGCAUGGUCCGAGUUUGAAAGAUGGCUUCGGCUAUCACUUUUGGAUGGUCCCGCGGCGUAUUAGCUAGAUGGUGGGGUAACGGCUCACCAUGGCAAUGAUACGUAGCCGACCUGAGAGGGUAAUCGGCCACAUUGGGACUGAGACACGGCCCAAACUCCUACGGGAGGCAGCAGUAGGGAAUCUUCCACAAUGGACGAAAGUCUGAUGGAGCAACGCCGCGUGAGUGAAGAAGGGUUUCGGCUCGUAAAACUCUGUUGUUAAAGAAGAACAUAUCUGAGAGUAACUGUUCAGGUAUUGACGGUAUUUAACCAGAAAGCCACGGCUAACUACGUGCCAGCAGCCGCGGUAAUACGUAGGUGGCAAGCGUUGUCCGGAUUUAUUGGGCGUAAAGCGAGCGCAGGCGGUUUUUUAAGUCUGAUGUGAAAGCCUUCGGCUCAACCGAAGAAGUGCAUCGGAAACUGGGAAACUUGAGUGCAGAAGAGGACAGUGGAACUCCAUGUGUAGCGGUGAAAUGCGUAGAUAUAUGGAAGAACACCAGUGGCGAAGGCGGCUGUCUGGUCUGUAACUGACGCUGAGGCUCGAAAGUAUGGGUAGCAAACAGGAUUAGAUACCCUGGUAGUCCAUACCGUAAACGAUGAAUGCUAAGUGUUGGAGGGUUUCCGCCCUUCAGUGCUGCAGCUAACGCAUUAAGCAUUCCGCCUGGGGAGUACGGCCGCAAGGCUGAAACUCAAAGGAAUUGACGGGGGCCCGCACAAGCGGUGGAGCAUGUGGUUUAAUUCGAAGCUACGCGAAGAACCUUACCAGGUCUUGACAUACUAUGCAAAUCUAAGAGAUUAGACGUUCCCUUCGGGGACAUGGAUACAGGUGGUGCAUGGUUGUCGUCAGCUCGUGUCGUGAGAUGUUGGGUUAAGUCCCGCAACGAGCGCAACCCUUAUUAUCAGUUGCCAGCAUUAAGUUGGGCACUCUGGUGAGACUGCCGGUGACAAACCGGAGGAAGGUGGGGAUGACGUCAAAUCAUCAUGCCCCUUAUGACCUGGGCUACACACGUGCUACAAUGGAUGGUACAACGAGUUGCGAACUCGCGAGAGUAAGCUAAUCUCUUAAAGCCAUUCUCAGUUCGGAUUGUAGGCUGCAACUCGCCUACAUGAAGUCGGAAUCGCUAGUAAUCGCGGAUCAGCAUGCCGCGGUGAAUACGUUCCCGGGCCUUGUACACCCCUCCAGUCACGCCAUGAGAGUUUGUAACACCCAAAGUCGGUGGGGUAACCUUU